GGCCUUUAGCCCUACAAGUAUUAAAGGUCUCGCCUGCCCAGUGACUCACUUCAACGGCCGCGGUACCCUAACCGUGCAAAGGUAGCGUAAUCACUUGCCCUCCAAAUAGGGGCUCGUAUGAAUGGCUAAAUGAGGGCCCAACUGUCUCCUGCGACAAACCAAUGAAACUGCUCUCCUAGUACAAAAGCUGGGAUAACCACACAAGACGAGAAGACCCUGUGGAGCUUUUAACUUCACCACCAACCCGUACCAGAACCCAUGGUGCUAACUUUAAGUUGGGGCAACUACGGAGAACCACUAAACCUCCACGAAACAGGACCAAACCCCGCCCCAGGCCUACAAGCCAAAGGCAACUACCAAAGACCCAGCAUAGCUGAACAUCGAACCAAGUUACCCCAGGGAUAACAGCGCCAUCCCCCUCAAGAGUCCCUAUCGCCAGGGGGGUUUACGACCUCGAUGUUGGAUCAGGACACCCCGGCGGUGCAGCCGCUGCCAACGGUUCGUUUGUUCAACGACUAACGUCCUACGUG
rnacentral:rRNA from 1 species